CCUACGGGGGGCAGCAGUAGGGAAUCUUUCACAAUGGGCGAAAGCCUGAUGGAGCAACGCCGCGUGCAGGAUGAAGGCCUUCGGGUUGUAAACUGCUUUUAUAAGCGAGAAAUAUGAUGGUAACUUAUGAAUAAGGAUCGGCUAACUACGUGCCAGCAGCCGCGGUCAUACGUAGGAUCCGAGCAUUAUCCGGAGUGACUGGGUGUAAAGAGUUGCGUAGGUGGCAUAAUAAGUAGCUAGUGAAAUCUGGUGGCUCAACCAUUCAGACUAUUAGCUAAACUGUUAAGCUCGAGACCGUUAGAGGUAACUGGAAUUUCUAGUGUAGGAGUGAAAUCCGUAGAUAUUAGAAGGAACACCAGUAGCGUAGGCAGGUUGCUGGGACGGUUCUGACACUAAGGCACGAAAGCGUAGGGAGCAAACGGGAUUAGAUACCCUUGUAGUC
rnacentral:rRNA from 1 species